ensembl:lncRNA
GGGACAGCUAGCCGGAGGGGUCCUGGGGGGCCGGGGAGGGACGGGGGACAGCCGCAAGUGACCCCCGAAAGCCGCAAGUGGCGCACCAACGUGAGGCAUUGCACUGGUUCGAGCGAACGUGCCGCGGCCACCGCGGGCAGUUCACCGGUUGGGAGCUUUUCCGGACACUGCGAUCUGUGUCGCCGCGAGCGACAGAGCGGCGAGCGGUGCGAAAAAACCGCCACGCAGGCUGUCAGCUCCGCGGGGAGAAGCUCUCGACCCACUGGUGGCGUGGGCACUCGCCCUUCCACACAGCCCGGCAGGACUGCCACCGCGGGGACAGAGGCGCCGAUUUCUGUCCGGCGCUGUGUCCGUGGAUGCGGACGGGACCUUCCUAACACCCGGAAGACUGUCUGCGGAGUCAGGAACCGUUACUGCAGUGUGUUUUCUGAAGAACGGCGGUGGCAGUCUGUUGCAGAGCCGUUCAUGGAUUUUGUGGAUCGAGUGAGAGCUUCAGUCGAGAAAAGGGUGCAAAAUCCAGAGCUCCAAGAUCAGCUCACACUAGAAAUUGCCACCACAAAUGCAAAUGAGGCCUGUCAACGAGUCAUCCUGGCCCUUCCAGCAUCGCCUCCACCCACACUCAAUCAGCUCAUUGAGGAGUGCACGAGAAAAGCUACACUAAUGACAGAGGACUCAGUGAUAAGUCCGCGGGAAAGGGUGGUUGCUUCAGCAGCAGCAACCCUGAGAACUCCGGGGUCUGCAGGGCCUCCUCCUUAUCAAGGGAGGAAAGUGGGAGCAGGGGGAAUCUUUUUCCUUUAUACUGGCAGAGCAAAUUGUACCUUUUCAGAGUUAGUUUACCUUGUUAUAUGAUUUUAUCUGUCUUUCAGACUAGCAGAAUGUCAAUUUCCACAUUCCUGCUCAUCGUUUGGUUCCAGACAAUGGCCACCCGUGCACGGUGGACGCGUGGAUUGUUCCACAGCCCAAGAAAAAUGUGUGGGUCACACUCGCCCAAGCCUUGAAACAAGAUCACAUGUGUUUGUCUACUGCCUCAGCAGAAAAUCCGAUGUCCACAUGUUUAGUAGGGGUUUCCAAGUAAGGGGGAUGAGUUCCCAAUCGGUCUGGUCCGCCCGCAAAAAGCAGGUGGAACGAAAAUAAAAUACCUGAAGCGGGGGCAGAGUUCUACAGGCGCCGAGGAGCUGUAGAACAAGUUAAAAUACCAGUGCAAAACCCCCUCAUUUUGUGGCAAAAGUGGAUCCUACACUUGCCCUCUGCUGAGGGAGAGCCCCAGGAAUUAGAACUCCUGGGCUCCGCAAAAGCUGAAUAUUGCAUUCAAUUUGAUUUUUCCCCAACCAAAGAAGGUAAACUAUAUGAGCAAGUCAAACAGUACAAGGUAGAAUUCAGGGCGGGUCAAUGGUGCACAGCUGUCUAUAAGCUGAAAUUUGCAUCCACCACUGAUUUCCGUCCCCGCAAGCUGGACAAAGGGGUGUUUCUUAUCUGUGGGGACAGAGCAUACCCAGGAAUCCCCUCUCGUCUUAUUGGAGGUCCAUGCACUUUCGGGCAUCUGACCCUUGGCUUCCCCCAACAUGAUCCAAAUUCCAAUCGGGCGAGCAAAAGGUGAGACAAAAAUUACUAAGCGAAGUGCAAGUCAAUUUGAUGAACAUUGUGAUGCAGAAAUUUACCAUUGGGCAAAAUCCAAAAGAGUUGCCGUCUCUGUGUUUUUACCAUGGGUUGCGGCAGCAAAAGCAUUGAGUGAAUUAGGCAAUCUGGAAUGCUGGGGUGACGAAGCAGGCAAAUUUAACAUCAGCAGCCCUGAGUGACCUCCUAGAAGACGAGGAAUAACCAGAAAGGCUACCCUCCAAAAUCGGGCAGCUAUUGAUUUCCUGCUGUUGGCACAUGGUCAUGGAUGUAAAGAGUUUGAUGGGUUGUGUUGUUUUGAUCUGUCAUCUAAAGGCCAGAGUGUCCACUUGUCCAUUCAGGAAAUGAGAAGCCUCAUUGGGAGUGUGAAGCAAGAAAAUGAGGAUUGGUUUAAGGAUCUGUUCAAAGACUGGGACCUUUCUGGAUGGGCAGUGUCUCUUUAAAGACAUUCUUUUACUUUCUAGUUGCACUGUUUUUUAGUUUGUUAGCAUUUGGGAUUCUAAGCAAAUAAUCUCCAAGGUCAUCACCUCAAAGCCUAAGCUUCCGCACCUGUUCUCAUCGCUGCUGCCGUCACGGAGGGCGAUUGGUGGGAAGACGACAAGCAGAAGGACACCGCAGUUGAGAGCCGCAGUUUUACCUUCUCCCAAGGCACCGUUCAUCUUAUUAAGUAAAGAAGAGGGAGAUGUUGCUAUCGCGCUGGUGUGGUAGUGUGGAGGAAGGGAUUUAGAAAGGCCUUGGGAAUUGGAAACUGAGGAAAAGAUACAUUUAGGUAUGAGGAAAAGAUACAUUUAUGUAUGCCCCAUUGUUUCAGGAAAGUUUUGCUUCAGCAUCUUUAUGUAAACCCCCUUCUCCCCACCCCUGAGCAGUUCCCAUUGGACCUGACCCCUGGGGUGGUUCUGAUGGGCCCAUGCUGAACACUGUCUCUAUUGUUUAGACCUUAUCUCUUAAUUUUUGCUGUAUAAAACUGUAUCUGGGCAGUAGCCCAGCGUCUUUUGUCCCUGCAACUGUUCAGGCAAUACAAUCUCUCUGGACUGCACACAACUGACCUCUCUUUGUCUCUUUAUCUCGACUCCUUGUGGCGACCGAGGCGCACCGCUGCUCGGACCGUGCUAACCCGGCCGCUGCCUGGUGAGCCCAGUGCAGCGGGACCGCGGCAAAACCCCGGUUCCCUGAGGGGACAGCUAGCCGGAGGGGUCCUGGGGGGCCGGGGAGGGACGGGGGACACCGCAAGUGACCCCGAAAGCCGCAGUACCCUGUGGACCUCAUGUCUGGCACAUUUCCCACUGUAGAUGCAACAUUCUUUCACUGCAACAGGAGUUUAAUCCUGCUGACAUUCCUGAGGCAUUCUUCUUAUUGGUGAUCCCAGCAGCAGGCUGCGCAGUUACCGUUACAUGCACUUGUGUGUUUAUGCCUGUGAUGCUGACGUGAACCACAAUGGAGUUCUAAACAGUGCCAUUUAAAAGCAAAAGCAAUUCCCCACUCCCCGUUUCCUCAGAUGAUGCUUAGAUCAUGGAAGGGUGGUAUCACAGUACCCUGUGACAAC